rnacentral:rRNA from 1 species
GAGGAAGGUGGGGAUGACGUCAAAUCAUCAUGCCCCUUAUGUCCAGGGCUUCACACAUGCUACAAUGGUCGGUACAACGCGCAGCGACACUGUGAGGUGGAGCGAAUCGCUGAAAGCCGGUCUUAGUUCGGAUUGGGGUCUGCAACUCGACCCCAUGAAGUCGGAGUCGCUAGUAAUCGCAGAUCAGCAACGCUGCGGUGAAUACGUUCCCGGGCCU